AUUGAACGCUGGCGGCAGGCCUAACACAUGCAAGUCGAGCGGAUGAAGGGUGCUUGCUCCUGGAUUCAGCGGCGGACGGGUGAGUAAUGCCCAGGAAUCUGCCUCGUAGUGCGGGAUAACGUCCGGAAACGGGCGCUAAUACCGCCUACGUCCUGCGGGAGAAAGUGGGGGAUCUUCGGACCUCACGCUCUCAGAUGAGCCUAGGUUGGAUUAGCUAGUUGGUGGGGUAAAGGCCUACUAAGGCGACGAUCCGUAACUGGUCUGAGAGGAUGAUCAGUCACACUGGAACUGAGACACGGUCCAGACUCCUACGGGAGGGAGCAGUGGGGAACAUUGGACAAUGGGCGAAAGCCUGAUCCAGCCAUGCCGCGUGUGUGAAGAAGGUCUUCGGAUUGUAAAGCACUUUAAGUUGGGAGGAAGGGCAGUAAGUUAAUACCUUGCUGUUUUGACGUUACCAACAGAAUAAGCACCGGCUAACUUCGUG
rnacentral:rRNA from 1 species